rnacentral:rRNA from 1 species
GACGAACGCUGGCGGCGUGCCUAAUACAUGCAAGUAGAACGCAGUUGCGAACGGGUGAGUAACGCGUAGGUAACCUGCCUCAUAGCGGGGGAUAACUAUUGGAAACGAUAGCUAAUACCGCAUACUGUGAGAUGGACCUGCGUUGUAUUAGCUAGUUGGUGAGGUAAAGGCGCACCAAGGCGACGAUACAUAGCCGACCUGAGAGGGUGAUCGGCCACACGGGAACUGAGAAACGGUCCAGACUCCUACGGGAGGCAGGAGGGGGGAAUAUUGCACAAUGGGCGCAAGCCUGAUGCAGCCAUGCCGGGUGUAGGAAGAAGGCCUUCGGGUUGUAAAGUACUUUCAGCGGGGAGGCGUUACCCGCAGAAGAAGCACCGGCUAACUCCGUGCCAGCAGCCGCGGUAAUUC